CCCCAUCUCUCUCCAUCUCUGUCUCCCCCAACCCCAACUCUCCCCAACUCUGUCUCCACAACCCCAACUCUCUCCAUAUAUCUGUCUCCCCCAUCCCAUCUCUCUCCAUCUCUACCUCCCCAAACCCAUCACUCUCCAUCUGCCUCCACCUCCAAGACUCCAUCUCCAUCUCUGUCUCCCCCACCCCAUCUCUCCACCUCUGUCUCCCCCAAUCC
rnacentral:lncRNA from 1 species